rnacentral:rRNA from 1 species
CGCGGCCUAUCAGCUUGUUGGUGGGGUAAUGGCUCACCAAGGCUUCGACGGGUAGCCGGCCUGAGAGGGCGACCGGCCACACUGGGACUGAGAUACGGCCCAGACUCCUACGGGAGGCAGCAGUGGGGAAUAUUGCACAAUGGGCGGAAGCCUGAUGCAGCAACGCCGCGUGCGGGAUGACGGCCUUCGGGUUGUAAACCGCUUUCAUCCAUGACGAAGCUAACGUGACGGUAGUGGGAGAAGAAGCACCGGCCAACUACGUGCCAGCAGCCGCGGUGAUACGUAGGGUGCGAGCGUUGUCCGGAAUUAUUGGGCGUAAAGAGCUUAGGCGGUCUGUCGCGUCGGGUGUGAAAUCCCAGGGCUUAACCCUGGGUCUGCUUCCGAUACGGGCUGACUAGAGGGAGGUAGGGGAGAACGGAAUUCCUGGUGGAGCGGUGGAAUGCGCAGAUAUCAGGAGGAACACCGGUGGCGAAGGCGGUUCUCUGGACCUUUCCUGACGCUGAGAAGCGAAAGCGUGGGGAGCAAACAGGCUUAGAUACCCUGGUAGUCCACGCCGUAAACGGUGGGCACUAGGUGUGGGGCUCAUUCCACGAGUUCCGUGCCGUAGCUAACGCAUUAAGUGCCCCGCCUGGGGAGUACGG